AUUGAACGCUGGCGGCAUGCCUUACACAUGCAAGUCGAACGGUAACGGGCCUUCGGGUGCCGACGAGUGGCGAACGGGUGAGUAAUACAUCGGAACGUGCCCGAUCGUGGGGGAUAACGAGGCGAAAGCUUUGCUAAUACCGCAUACGAUCUACGGAUUAAAGCAGGGGACCGCAAGGCCUUGCGCGGACUGAGCGGCCGGUGCCAGAUUAGGUAGUGCGGAAGGUAAAAGUUUACCAAGGCAACGAUGCGUAGCCGAUCUGAGAGGAUGAGCGGCCACACUGGAACUGAGACACGGGCCAGACUCCUACGGGAGGCAGCAGUAGGGAAUCUUCCGCAAUGGGCGAAAGCCUGACGGAGCAACGCCGCGUGAGUGAUGAAGGUCUUCGGAUCGUAAAACUCUGUUAUUAGGGAAGAACAAAUGUGUAAGUAACUAUGCACGUCUUGACGGUACCUAAUCAGAAAGCCACGGCUAACUACGUG
rnacentral:rRNA from 1 species